GCACGUUUUUGCAUAUAUUUCCGGUGCAUGAAUCUUAAACUGUGAUAAAGCCAGGACCAAAAUUCUUUUUUUAUUUUGUUUAUUUAUCAAAUGACAAAAAAUCCUCACAUGGAUUUUAAGAUAUCUGCUUUUAUGACCUGGGAAAUCAAAAUAUACCUGACCAUGGCCUUAAAAACCCUAUUUUCGCCAUGAUUUCCAGGUAAAAUUACCCAUAAAUCUGGCCAGGAGCAAUUUAUAAAUAAAUCCAUAUGUAGAUGUCUUCAUAACAAUGCUAUGUGUGAAACUGGGAAGUGUGGUAUACCUAGGUUCUACAUAGGCUGAGAAAUGUGCACCUAAAAAUGGAAAAACACUCAUUUUGAGAAAACGGACUUGAAAGAUUCUUAUGGCAAAGGCCAACCAAGCUUGAGAGCAUACCACGUGAUACAUUCGAACCAAUCGUCCGGUCGGAAAUCGAGCCAGCCAAUCAGAUAUCAGUUUUAUAUUGUGCAGCAGAUCGAGUGCUUUCCAAUGAUACCACGGAACACAUAUGACAGAGACCGGCUGUAAUUUGAAACGGUGCGUAAUAAAGCAAACGUUUGGUGAAUUUUCUGUAAAAUUCAGAGGCGCAAGUUGACAAACUAUAAUAAAACAAACACCUAAAGUUUUGACAUUUUUCUUUCUUUUGUGCGAAACAUUACAUGUUAAUGGUGCAAAAUAGCCCAAAAUAUCAAAAUUGACCAGUGACUGAAAAAUCGAUGAUUUUGCCUGCCGUGUCUCGCCUUAAAACGAAUGAAAUUGCUUCCAGCAACAAAAAUAGAUCCCCAUUCCCCACUGAGUGGACUGUUGCCAAGCAACAUAUAAACAAAACACCAUACAUAAAUGCGGAGUGAUUUUGUCAGUUUGGUGAACAGUCAGAGUGAUGUUGGACGCUCAUAUCUCAACGGUAUUCAAUGGAUAUUGUCACAAGUUUAAUUACAAUUUGUUUUGUGAGCAAGUAUUUUAUUCUUUUUAUCAUAUUUAUAAAAAAAUAUAUAUUUUUUAUUUUAUUUAUUUUUUUCAAUUGAGGGUGCAAACAGUUUUUUUGGGGGUGCAAUGCAUGCUUAUGCACCCUCGUAGAACCGGGUCUGAAUACAUGACAUGUUGUAUGUUAUAUCUAUGUUAUUAUAUACAUCUCAACUGAAUUUGCAUUCUUCAUGAGGCCCAAAAUGAUAGACGUACAGUAUAUUGCUGUGUUUGUUCUGUGAACCUAUCUGUGCAAACUGCAGCCAAGAUCAGGAAAACGAAAACCAGCGCAAAUGUCUUCAUGUUGUUCACCUUUGCUUCCCGAGGCUGUAGUACUCUAAGACACUGUCUGCAGGUCGAGGUGGUUAAAUACCCCCCAUGUCACUGACAGCCAGAAAAAACAGAUUUAAAUAAAAAAAUAAUUACAUACUAAUAGUGGCAACUGGUCAGUAGGGGCAAGUGGGGCUCGGCCCCACCUACUCUCACAAGAAAAAAAGAAAAAAAGGAAAUAUAUAAAAUGAAUUAUAUACAUAUAUAUAAAAAUCUCCCCAGAAAGUACUGUCAAAUAAUAAAUUCGGCGCUUUUAGUUCAUUUUUAGUCGACCCUAGCUUGCUUCUUCAGACGGAUUUCGUCUGGAAGGGCAAGAGUGGCUCGAGCCUCAUCAGCCCAAUGUAAUGUGUAUUGGACUUGAAAAAUUGAAAUGCGUAUGCUCAGAGUGUUCCUCUGUUGAAAUCGACGCAGGUUAUUACUUCUGGUGGGGCUGGCACCACCGGGACCGCCAUGGACAUAUAUGGUUCGUUCCACAACGUUGUAAUUUCAUAUUUCACCGUUCAUUGGCUGUAGUGUGUGACGUUGUGAUGAGUCAUGACUCGAGUGACCUCCCACCUCACCUCACGUGCCGCGCGCAACUCGAGAAGUCCUGUAGCGAAGAAGAGAAGGAGAUGGAUAACUUUGCUAACAAACGCGUCGGAGGCACACAAACGAAAACGAGUCGACAACAUGAAUGAGGUAGAUCAUCUAUUGGAGCACAAAUUUGAGACCCUGAGCAUGGCGGAAAAAUUAGAGGUAAAACGCCUCAUGUCUUCCCUUUUCAGUCUAUUUAUGUUUUUCCCGUCUUAUAUGUUCCCACUCCUGGCCUGCACCUUGUCGUGGUGAGUGGGCUUUAAACCAAGACAGGCCAUUCUGAAUCUUUUGUUUCACAGCUAUUAUCUUUGAUUUCUCCUCCAGGACACUGCCUAGGCCUACGGGAGGUGUACUCCAUGGUAAAAUGAUAUUGGGUUCUUAUAGUAGCUCUUACAGCUGUUUGCAGUAGUAUCAUUUUAUUCUGAGGUUUACAGAAGCUUAGUUUAGAGUUGAACAACUUUUAAAACUAUACUUUCAUUAUUGCAAUGUUUUGAUGUCAACAAUAAAAGAUUAAAAACUACAUUAAUGUACUUUAUUAAUUAAAUAUACAUAUCUGAUACAUGGCGAACAGUCACUUAGUUCAAAAACAAAAAGCCCAGCAUACUGAAUAGUGUAAAAGUAUCUAUUUAUUUGUAAUGGUUGUGAUGGCCCCAGUACCUUGCCUGCUGUCCUGGCAGGUCCUUGUUGGUGGAGCUGAGGGCUGAAUAGAGAAUGGGAAACACAAGCCAGGGCUACAAACAGCAUGGUGGGACACUGACACUUAAGUAAGACCAAUGAUGGAAGCUCAAUCUCUAUUUUGAAAUACUUUUGCUUUUUUAUGAAAAUUACCAAUUUUAUUUGUAAUAUAUUAGGGCUGUAACUUUUUCAAAAAUGAAUUUCAUGAGAGAGAGAGAGAGAGAGAGAGAGAGAGAGAGAGAGAGAGAGAGAGAGAGAGAGAGAGAGAGAGAGAGAGAGAGAGAGAGAGAGAGAGAGAGAGAGAGAGAGAGAGAGAGAGACUAAUAUUACCAGGUUUGGUGGUUGUCUUUAACUGUCGCCCUCUGGUAUCCUGGUGGGUUUUUGCGUUGCAUUGAGCGACCGAGUUCUACCUUUCAUCCAAUUGAUUGGCGUGUGUGUGUGUGUGGUGUAUGAAGCGAGAGACCCUGAUUGGUCCGGUGGUCCUUUUGGCAAAGUGGGCGGGACUUUGUUCUGUUCUGGCCUAUUAACCGAGAUCCUGUCCUCUGGAGCAGGCUUGGUGUGAGUGAUCCAUAUACCUUGUGGUAACCAUGGUGAUGUACGCCCCCCGGAUUAGAAGCAACCCAGCAGACCUCCGGCAGAUAGUUUUAUCGUAGCCCAUUCAGAAAUCGGUAGUGGGAUCCGUAGUAUUAGUUAAGGGAGUUUUAUAGGUGAAAUAUUGUGCAUAAAGCUGUGUCUCACCCACUCUACUUGUCUGUCUGUCUGUGUCUUCCGGUCUCUCUGUCUCUCUGUCCCUGUCUCUCUCUAUUUCUGCCUCCCUUUCUCUGUCUCUCUCUCCCUCCCUCCCUCCCUCUCUCCCUCCCUCCCUCCCUCUCUCUGUCCCUCCUUCCCUUUUGUGAGACGGUUCAGUGAAUGAAAACGACAAAACAAAAUGUAUUUUCCUUAAACUAAAUGAAACCGGUUUGCUCUGGAAAGAAUAAAUAGACUAAGGGAGUUGACCUAAGGUUAGAAAAUAGAUUUAAAUAAACCAUCAAUCAAAUUAAUUGAGCAAAUUGAAUACCAUUGACUGUCAAACCGAUGAUAUAGUCAUAUUUGUAUUUAUUUUUAAUUAAAUUCAUACACAAUUUCCAAUGUGAUGCAUGAGUCAAAUAGACAGUUUAAGAGAUCACACACCGAUCACACACCGAUCACACAGC
ensembl:lncRNA